GAUGAACGCUGGCGGCGUGCCUAAUACAUGCAAGUCGAACGAAGAUCUAGCUUGCUAGAUCUUAGUGGCGAACGGGUGAGUAAUACAUAAAUAAUCUGCCCAUAUGACUGGGAUAACUAUUGGAAACGAUAGCUAAUACCGGAUAGGUUGAUCGGAGGCAUCUCUGAUGAAUUAAAGUAGGAUUUCUACACAAAUGGAUGAGUUUAUGGCGCAUUAGUUAGUUGGUGGGGUAACGGCCUACCAAGACGAUGAUGCGUAGCCGACCUGAGAGGGUGACCGGCCACACUGGGACUGGGACACGGCCCAGACUCCUUCGGGAGGCAGCAGUAGGGAAUUUUCGGCAAUGGGCGCAAGCCUGACCGAGCAACGCCGCGUGAGUGAUUAAGGCCUUCGGGUUGUAAAGCUCUGUUGUAAGGGAAGAACAUUCAGGAUAGGAAAUGAUCUUGAACUGACGGUACCUUACCAGAAAGCCACGGCUAACUACGUGCCAGCAGCCGCGGUAA
rnacentral:rRNA from 1 species